AAUGAACGUUGGCGGCGUGGAUUAGGCAUGCAAGUCGAGCGAGAACCCCGCAAGGGGGGACAGCGGCAAACGGGGUAGUAAUGUGUCGGAACGUGCCCUCUGGACGGGGAUAGCGGCGGGAAACUGCCGGUAAUACCCGAUGAACUCGAGAGAGCAAAGGUGUGAUUCCGCCGGAGGAGCGGCCGACAUGGUAUUAGCUAGUUGGCGGGGUAACGGCCCACCAAGGCUGUGAUGCCUAGGGGAUGUGAGAGCAUGAUCCCCACCAUUGGGACUGAGACACUGCCCAGACACCUACGGGUGGCUGCAUUCGAGAAUCUUCGUCAAUGGGCGAAAGCCUGAACGAGCGACGCCGCGUGUGGGAUGAAGGCCUUUGGGUUGUAAACCACUGUCGAGGGGGAUGAAGGCAUUCAGGUCCUCCUGAAUGUUUGACAGAGCCCUGGAGGAAACACGGGCUAAGUUCGUGCCAGCAGCCGCGGUAAUACGAACUGUGCGAACGUAUUCGG
rnacentral:rRNA from 1 species